CACGUAGGGGGCAAGCGUUGUCCGGAUUUAUUGGGCGUAAAGAGCUCGUAGGCGGUUCGGUAAGUCGGGUGUGAAACCUCCAGGCUCAACCUGGAGACGCCACCCGAUACUGCUGUGACUCGAGUCCGGUAGGGGAGCGUGGAAUUCCUGGUGUAGCGGUGAAAUGCGCAGAUAUCGAGAGGAACACCGGCGGCGAAAGCGGCCAUCUGGACGAGGACUGACGCUGAGAUGCGAAAGCGUGGGGAGCAAACAGG
rnacentral:rRNA from 1 species